rnacentral:rRNA from 1 species
GGAAUAUUGGUCAAUGGACGCAAGUCUGAACCAGCCAUGCCGCGUGCAGGAUGACGGUCCUAUGGAUUGUAAACUGCUUUUGUACAGGAAGAAACAACUCUACGUGUAGAGUCUUGACGGUACUGUAAGAAUAAGGAUCGGCUAACUCCGUGCCAGCAGCCGCGGUAAUACGGAGGAUCCAAGCGUUAUCCGGAAUCAUUGGGUUUAAAGGGUCCGUAGGCGGUUUAGUAAGUCAGUGGUGAAAGCCCAUCGCUCAACGGUGGAACGGCCAUUGAUACUGCUAAACUUGAAUUAUUAGGAAGUAACUAGAAUAUGUAGUGUAGCGGUGAAAUGCUUAGAGAUUACAUGGAAUACCAAUUGCGAAGGCAGGUUACUACUAAUAUAUUGACGCUGAUGGACGAAAGCGUGGGUAGCGAACAGGAUUAGAUACCCUGG